CAGUCAGGGGAAUGAUGUACUACUACAAGGCUCUCAAGAUGCUUACUUUUCUUGAUUCUGCUUCUGAGAUUGACAUUAGGG